ACGAACGCUGGCGGCGUGCUUAACACAUGCAAGUCGAACGGAAAGGCCCCUUUGGGGGUCCUCGAGUGGCGAACGGGUGAGUAACACGUGAGUAACCUGCCCUUGACUUCGGGAUAACUUCAGGAAACUGGGGCUAAUACCGGAUAGGAAUCCUUGCUGCAUGGUGGGGGUUGGAAAGCUUCGGCGGUUUUGGAUGGACUCGCGGCUUAUCAGCUUGUUGGUGGGGUAGUGGCUUACCAAGGCUUUGACGGGUAGCCGGCCUGAGAGGGCGACCGGCCACAUUGGGACUGAGAUACGGCCCAGACUCCUACGGGAGGCAGCAGUGGGGAAUAUUGCACAAUGGGCGGAAGCCUGAUGCAGCAACGCCGCGGGCGGGAGGACGGCCUUCGGGUUGUAAACCGCUUUCAGCAGGGGCGAAGCUUGUGGUGACGGUACCUGCAGAAGAAGCACCGGCUAACUACGUG
rnacentral:rRNA from 1 species